UGUUCAAUGCGGGGAUCGAACCCGGGUCGUAGUGGUCGAAAACCAAACGGUUUAACCAGCCUUUAACUAACAGAUC